AUUGAACGCUGGCGGCAGGCCUAACACAUGCAAGUCGAGCGGAGCGGCGGACGGGUGAGUAAGACCAAGGAAUCUGCCAGGUAGUGGGGGAUAACGUCCGGAAACGGGCGCUAAUACCGCAUACUAUCAGAUGAGCCUAGGUCGGAUUAGCUAGUUGGUGGGGUAAAGGCCCACAAAGGCGACGAUCCGUAACUGGUCUGAGAGGAUGAUCAGUCACACUGGAACUGAGACACGGCCCAGACUCCUACGGGAGGCAGCAGUGGGGAAUAUUGGACAAUGGGCGAAAGCCUGAUGCAGCCAUGCCGCGUGUGUGAAGAAGGUCUUCGGAUUGUAAAGCACUUUAAGUUAGGAGGCGUUACCAACAGAAGAAGCACCGGCUAACUCCGUGCCAGCAGCCGCGGUAAUAC
rnacentral:rRNA from 1 species